rnacentral:rRNA from 1 species
CACCGCGGUCACACAAGAGGCCCAAAUUAACUGUACACGGCGUAAAGAGUGGGACCAGAAUAUCCCACAGACUAGAGUUAAAAUACAGCCGAGCUGUUAUAAGCCCAAGAUGCACUAAAACCCACCCUUAAAAUGACCCUAGCAAUCAAGAUAGACAACCCCCCACGAAAGCCAGGACU